AACGAACGCUGGCGGCAUGCCUAACACAUGCAAGUCGAACGAGACCUUCGGGUCUAGUGGCGCACGGGUGCGUAACGCGUGGGAACCUGCCCUUAGGUUCGGAAUAACUCCCCGAAAGGGGUGCUAAUACCGGAUAAUGUCUUCGGACCAAAGAUUUAUCGCCUUUGGAUGGGCCCGCGUUGGAUUAGCUAGUUGGUAGGGUAAAAGCCUACCAAGGCGACGAUCCAUAGCUGGUCUGAGAGGAUGAUCAGCCACACUGGGACUGAGACACGGCCCAGACUCCUACGGGAAGCAGCAGUGGGGAAUAUUGGACAAUGGGCGAAAGCCUGAUCCAGCAAUGCCGCGUGAGUGAUGAAGGCAUUAGGGUUGUAAAGCUCUUUUACCCGGGAUGAUAAUGACAGUACCGGGAGAAUAAGCUCCGGCUAACUCCGUG
rnacentral:rRNA from 1 species